rnacentral:rRNA from 1 species
AGAGCAUACGGUGGAUGCCUUGGCGAUAUCUGCCGACGAAGGACGUGACAAGCUGCGAAAAGCUGCGGAGAGAUGCAAAUAAUCGGCGACCCGCAGACAUCCGAAUGGAGAAAUCCGGCUGUGAUGAUACACAGCCAUCCAUGCCCAAGAGCAUGAGAAGGGAACCGGGCGAACUGAAACAUCUAAGUAACCCGAGGAAAAGAAAUCAAACGAGAUACCCCAAGUAGCGGCGAGCGAACAGGGAAGAAGCCCAAACCGGUGAAGGAAACUUUACCGGGGUUGAGGACCAUCAGACCCGCGAAGAACCUUAGCCGAAACUGUUGGGAAACAGUGCCAAAGACAGUGAAAGCCUGGUAGGCGAAAAAGAGAAACGCGGAGAUGGCACCAGAGUACCGCGGGACACGAGAAAUCCCGUGGGAAGCAGGGGGGACCACCCUCCAAGGCAAAACACAGAUAUCGACCGAUAGCGCAUAGUACCAUGAGGGAAAGGUGAAAAGCACCCCGGGAGGGGAAUGAAAGAGAACCUGAAACCGUAUGUUUACAAGCAGUCGGAGACCGCUUAAUAAUAAGGUCGACGGCGUGCCUAUUGAAGAAUGAACCGGCGAGUUACGAAGCCUGGCAAGGUUAAGCAGGAAAUGCGGAGCCGAAGCGAAAGCGAGUCUUAAGAGGGCGCAAGUCAGGAAGCGUAGACCCGAAACCACAGUGAUCUACCCAUGUCCAGGUUGAAACACAGGUAAAAAUGUGUGGAGGACCGAACCUAUAUCCGUUGAAAAGGGUUAGGAUGAGGUGUGGGUAGGGGUGAAAUUCCAAUCGAACGUGGAGAUAGCUGGUUCUCCCCGAAAUAGCUUUAGGGCUAGCCUCAGGGAAAAGAUUGCAGGCGGUAGAGCACUGAUCAGGAGAGGGACCUACCCGUUUACCAAACCCAGUCAAACUCCGAAUGGCUGCAAUCAUACCUGGGAGUCAGACUGCGACUAAUAAGGGCCGCAGUCAAAAGGGAAACAGCCCAGACCAUCAGCUAAGGUCCCCAAUGCCGUGCUAAGUGGCGAAGGAUGUGGCAUUUCGUAAACAACCAGGAUGUUGGCUCAGAAGCAGCCACCAUUUAAAGAGUGCGUAAUAGCUCACUGGUCGAGAGACGCUGCGCCGAAAAUGUCCGGGGCUCAAGCACGGAACCGAAGCUAUGGCAUGAUAGCAAUAUCAUGGGUAGGGGAGCGUUCUUAUAAGGAAGAAGCAUGACCGGAAGGACAUGUGGACGAAUAAGAAGUGAGAAUGCCGGUAUGAGUAUCGAAAAGAAAGGUGAGAAUCCUUUCCACCGAAAGCCCGAGGGUUCCUGAGCAACGAUCGUCGACUCAGGGUAAGUCGGGACCUAAGCCGAGGCGAGAAGCGUAGGCGAUGGACAACAGGUUGAAAUUCCUGUACCGGAUCAAGUCGAUCGAGCGAAGGAGCGACGCAGGAGGGCACAUGAUCGCGCGGCUGGAAGAGCGCGUCCAAGUGCGUAUGUUGCAGCAGAGGAAAACCCCUGCAGCUAAAAGCAGAGACAUGAUGGGGAGUUAAAGGAAACUUUGACGAACUCAUGGAUCCCACACUGCCAAGAAAAACUUCUAGCGAGACAAGAUCCGCCCGUACCGUAAACCGACACAGGUAGGCGGGGAGAGAAUCCUAAGGUGCGCGGGAAAACCCUCGUUAAGGAACUCGGCAAAUUGCAUCCGUAACCUAGGGAGAAGGAUGGCCCCCUGUCAGUGAAGAGCAGAAACGCUCAGAGCUAAAAGGGGCGGCAGAAAAGAGGCCCAAGCAACUGUUUACCAAAAACACAGGUGCCUGCGAAAGCGAAAGCUGAAGUAUAGGUGCUGACGCCUGCCCGGUGCCGGAAGGUUAAGGAGAGAAGUUAGCGAAAGCGAAGCAUCGAACUGAAGCCCCGGUGAACGGCGGCCGUAACUAUAACGGUCCUAAGGUAGCGAAAUUCCUUGUCGGGUAAGUUCCGACCCGCAUGAAAGGCGUAAUGAUUUGGGCACUGUCUCAACGAGGGGCCCGGUGAAAUUGAAAUACCUGUGAAGAUGCAGGUUACCCGCGACUGGACAGAAAGACCCCAUGGAGCUUCACUGCAGCUUGAGAUUGAAUCCCGGUGACAGAUGCACAGGAUAGGUGGGAGGCGCCGAAGCAUUGCCCUAGGGCGGUGCGGAGCCGAUGUUGGGAUACCACCCUUCUGUUGCUGAGAUUCUAACGCGAGGAGUAACGACCCUGCGGACCCUCUCAGGCAGGCGGUUUGACUGGGGCGGUCGCCUCCGAAAGAGUAACGGAGGCGCCCAAA